rnacentral:lncRNA from 1 species
GGAGGAACUGAGUGAACUGUAUGAGGAGAUUCUAAUUGGCUGGAACAUCUGUUGAAAUUGUGUUUCUGUAAAGAAAGAAAAAACUACCAUCUUCGGAGAUCUCUGGCUAGCUUUUAAGGCACCUAAAUCUCAGUCUUAAGUGAAGCGGACAGAGAAAAAAAGAAUGAAGCAUCUACUAGCAGCCAUUCCGUGGCUUCAGCUAGACCGGUUAAAUGGAGAGGUGAGAGUGGAGCAAAGCCCUCCGGCCCUGAGCCCCCAGGAGGGAGAAAACUGUACCAUCUACUGCAAUUAUUCAGGAACGACUACAGCUCGACUGUACUGGUACAGACAGGAGCUGGGGAAAAGCCUGGGACACCUGUUUUCGUUGGUGUCAAACGGAAUAGUGAAGCAGGAGGGACUAUUCACAGCCUGUCUUGACACCAAAGCCUGUCGCAGCGCCCUGCACAUCACGGCCACCCAGGGUGGCCUCUCUGCCUGCUACAUCUGCCCGGUGGACGGACAGCGCUCCCCCGAGGCUUUCAGUCCGUACCCAAAGCUGCAGCCUCGGCCCCCGCCCCCGCUGCUGCGGGACUACAGUCGGAGGCUUAGUGCAUCGUCUCUGCCUCUCUUCCUGCAAGGAAAUUCUGAAAUGAAUGAGAAAAGAUGGUGUUUUUAACCUUUAUUUUCUUCACUAUGGAAAUUUUCUUUAAAGGAUGGGGUCAACAACUGAGCAGCUUUCUCAGUCCCAGGAAUGAAUUUGGAAAAUAAGAUGCUACCAGUCAACAAAACUGUGCUAAAAAGAAAGUCAAAUACCAUAUGAUCUCACUCAUAAGUAGAAGAUAAAAAUGACCAAAAAAAAAAAAAAAAACACAUAGCAUUGGAGAUUGGACUGGUGGUUACCAUUGGGGAAGGGGGGAGGGGGGAGGGAAAAAGGGAUGAUUAGGGUCACAUGUGAGGGGAUGCACUAUAAUUAGUGUUCGGGUGGUGAACGUGAUGUAAUGUAUCCAGAAUUUGAAAUAUGAUGAAUAUCCGGAAAAAAUAAAAAUUAAAAAAUAAAUAAAUAAAAAUAAACA